rnacentral:rRNA from 1 species
GACGAACGCUGGCGGCGUGCUUAACACAUGCAAGUCGAACGGAAAGGCCCUGCUUUUGUGGCUUGCUCGAGUGGCGAACGCGUGAGUAACACGUGAGUAUCCUCCCCCUGUCUUUGGGAUAACUUCACGAAACUGGGGCUAUUACCGCAUAUGAGCUCCUGCUGCACAGUGGUCGUUGGAAAGUUUCGGCGGUGCUGGCUGGACUCGCGGCUUAUGCGCUUCUUUGUGGGGUAGUGGUUUACCAAGGCUUUGACGGGCAGCCGGCCUGGGAGCGUUGACGGCCACCUUGGGACUGAGAGACGGCCCAGACGGCAACGGGAGGCAGUGGGCGGGAAUAUUGCGCAACGGGGGCAAGCCUGUUGCAGAGACGCUGCGUGCGGGAUGACGGCCUUCGAGUUGUGAACCGCUUUGUCAUGUACCGUAGCGUGAGUGACGGUAAUGGGUAAAGAAGCACCGGCUAACUACGUG